rnacentral:rRNA from 1 species
AGAGUUUGAUCCUGGCUCAGGAUGACGCUGGCGGCGUGCCUAAUACAUGCAAGUCGAACGCUUUGUCUUUAACUGAUAUGAAGAGCUUGCUCUGAUUUGAUUUUAUCUGACAAAGAGUGGCGAACGGGUGAGUAACACGUGGGUAACCUACCUCUUAGCAGGGGAUAACAUUUGGAAACAAGUGCUAAUACCGUAUAAUACCAACAACCGCAUGGUCGUUGGUUGAAAGGUGGUUCUGCUAUCACUAAGAGAUGGACCCGCGGUGCAUUAGCUAGUUGGUAAGGUAACGGCUUACCAAGGCAAUGAUGCAUAGCCGAGUUGAGAGACUGAUCGGCCACAAUGGGACUGAGACACGGCCCAUACUCCUACGGGAGGCAGCAGUAGGGAAUCUUCCACAAUGGGCGCAAGCCUGAUGGAGCAACGCCGCGUGUGUGAUGAAGGGUUUCGGCUCGUAAAACACUGUUAUAAGAGAAGAACGGCACUGAGAGUAACUGUUCAGUGUGUGACGGUAUCUUACCAGAAAGGAACGGCUAAAUACGUGCCAGCAGCCGCGGUAAUACGUAUGUUCCAAGCGUUAUCCGGAUUUAUUGGGCGUAAAGCGAGCGCAGACGGUUAUUUAAGUCUGAAGUGAAAGCCCUCAGCUCAACUGAGGAAUGGCUUUGGAAACUGGAUGACUUGAGUGCAGUAGAGGAAAGUGGAACUCCAUGUGUAGCGGUGAAAUGCGUAGAUAUAUGGAAGAACACCAGUGGCGAAGGCGGCUUUCUGGACUGUAACUGACGUUGAGGCUCGAAAGUGUGGGUAGCAAACAGGAUUAGAUACCCUGGUAGUCC